rnacentral:rRNA from 1 species
UACGGGGGGAGCAAGCGUUGUUCGGAUUUACUGGGCGUAAAGGGCGCGUAGGCGGCCAGCACAAGUCAGUUGUGAAAUCUCCGGGCUUAACUCGGAAAGGUCAACUGAUACUGUGCGACUAGAGUGCAGAAGGGGCAACUGGAAUUCUCGGUGUAGCGGUGAAAUGCGUAGAUAUCGAGAGGAACACCUGCGGCGAAGGCGGGUUGCUGGGCUGACACUGACGCUGAGGCGCGAAGGCCAGGGGAGCAAACGGG